GUCUCAGAUUACUUCAGUCAAAGCCAGUCUCUCUGGGGCGUUCCUCAUGGAUGCAGCCAGAAUCUUCAUCUUCAGUGCCUCUGACACUUGCAAAUACAUCUCCAGAAUCCUGGCAUCCUGGACUCACUGAACUACAGGUCUCCAGUCGGCGUGAGAGACAAGGAGCAGACGCUGCACACGUGUGUGUUGACUUCAGGACCAAGAGGCUGGGAAUGGGAGCCUUUCUCUGCUCCUCUACCUCACACUCCUCUCCAUCCCACGAGGUCACUGUCUCCAUAAAAAUCUCCAAAUGCUCAGCCUUAAUGCACGGUGACUAACCAAGUUCUUGAGACAUACCCAGACAAAAACAUUUAAUUUCACCUGAUCUUUCACGUUGGAAAUCCUCUGGUCCUGUAGCACAGCACCCAGCAGGAGAAAGUUCUGGCAGGUCAUUCCCUAGGGCUUACACUGGUCUGAAGGAAUCACAUUGAAAUGGUUGCAGGUGGUGCUGUCCAGAAGAGGUGCUUUCCUCUGUCCCUGCCCAGGGAGAUUCUUUGUUAUCAUGCCCAUUCAGUAACCUCCACGGCCCACUUCCUGCGGAGCAGGACCCGAACCUCUCGCAGACUUCGUGGCUCUGCACAGGGGAAACAAUCUGACUUCCAGGUCUUUCUCCCUUCCCGGCCCAGGAAACCUUUGCCCCUGCCGACGUGUGUCUCCUCCUAGCCCUCCCAGUGUCUGAGUCUGCAGCCCCAGCCCUCAGAAACCUUGUGACCCCCACAGCUCAACUCCCUCACCCCCUCAGAAGGUUGUGUGUUCCUCGGUUUCCAGCUUCAGCCUCAGCCUGUCGGCAGCUCUCCUUGCCACCCUGGGCCGAAGCUAAAUUCAACAUGGCUCAAACUUGCGCUAUGUUCUCUCCCCAGAGCAUCUUCCACACGCCUAUCCACUUUCCUUGGGAGUCCCACCGGCCUCCCAGACACCCAGGCUGGGAAUCGCAACACUCUGAAGAGCUUUUCCUUCUCUUCAGCACCUGCAGCUACUGAGUCACCACAGUUUAUUCUGUGAUAGAUGCUGGCCAGCUCGUCACAGAGCCAUCGUGUCAAGGAGCUCUGACUACUUGCCCUACCGUCUCCAAACCAUGACUGCACGCUACUCAGGGUACAGGGGAGUUGGGGUGAUGAGAGGACCCAGUGUCCUGUGGCCUAAAUAAAGCAGGUGUUUAUUCCCGUUGUGUGACAGUUGGAGGUUCGGGCCAGACGCAACUUCUCUACGGCACGUACAGGGUGGGUCGGCCUCCGUCUGCACGCACGGCUGUGACUGCUGCUGCUGCUGCUGCUCCAAGUUCGAAACCUUCAGAGAGAGAUAAAGAGGGCGAGCCCGGCAGACGGCUGAGCCAGUCUAAGGAGUCAUGAACCAGAAGAGGAGGAAUGAGAGGAUGGUGACACUGCCUUCCUUUGAAAGAUGAGGAAACUGAGGCAUCGAUGAAGUGAGCUGGCUCCAGGCCUUGUUAGGCCUGGCUCCUAGGUCUGCCUUCCUGGAGCCUCUUAAUGAAUAGCACAAGAGUGGCCCAGAAUAAGGUCUAUUCAAUCAAAUCAAAGAUCAACACAAGCAGAGCUAUCUGGGCAGAUUGCACAGAAGAUGAACUACCCGAAGGAAGGGAGGGUGGGGUCUGGAUAGACAGAGAAGAGUAGAGGAAAAUGUUAGUGUUCCUUGGCAGUGGGUCUGGAAGUCAUUUUGGGGUUUGGUCACUUCAGUUCAAAUUCCACAGAUUCCCCUUGGACGCUGCCUACGUGAAAGGUUGCGCUGGAGAGAGGAGACAGUGGUGACAGUGGUGACAGUGGUGAAAUGUGAGUAUUUGCCCGUCAGUAGCUGGGGAAUUGUUCCUCGGGAGGGAUUCAGAUGCUCGGCUCCCUGGCUAGAACACACCCUCCAAGACGAAGCCCGCAGCUGCUCCCACUCAGCAAUCCUUGCACCAGGGAGAAACUGCGGGAGCAAGAGUACUGUCAGCCCUGAGACAGCAGACUCGUUGGGGGUGCACCUGAGAUUUCACUAAUCCCUCCACUUAUUCAGGAAACACAGGAUCCCUCUACACAGAGAGAUCAGAUGCUGUUUGUGUUAAUUUGCUAUGGCUGCUGUACAAAGCACACCAGACGGGGCUCACACAGCAGACUCGCACCUUUGACUUGAGGUGGGAUCCCGGAGCCCCAGGCGUUGGAGGGCUGUGUCUUGUCUGGUGACGUGUCCAUAGCCACCUUCUUCCUGUGUGUUCUCACGGUCUUGCAAAGGCCCUCUAUUCCUAACCCCUUCUUCUGCUGAGGACACCAGGUAUCCUGGACUAAAAGCACCCUCGUGACCUCAUUUCACCUUAAUCACUUAAGACCAUUUCUAAAAGGAAGGUGCUGAGACUUGAGCCUGGGAAUUAUGGGGAGAACAUAAUUCAGCAAUAACGCUGGCGCACACUGUGGGGAAGAGGAGAAGGGAAGGAUGUAGGCUGACUGUCCGGGUAGGGGGCUGUUUGUGAGGCAGGUUUGCAGAAGCUCUCAGGCUGUGAGCAGUGUCCCACGGGCCAAG
rnacentral:lncRNA from 1 species